rnacentral:piRNA from 1 species
UCUGAUUGGUGUCUUUCGCA